rnacentral:rRNA from 1 species
GAUGAACGCUGGCGGCGUGCCUAACACAUGCAAGUCGAGCGAUUUACUUCGGUAAAGAGCGGCGGACGGGUGAGUAACGCGUGGGUAACCUGCCCUGUACACACGGAUAACAUACCGAAAGGUAUGCUAAUACGGGAUGACAUGUUUUAUCACAUGGUAAAAAUAUCAAAGCUUUUGCGGUACAGGAUGGACCCGCGUCUGAUUAGCUAGUUGGUAAGGUAAUGGCUUACCAAGGCGACGAUCAGUAGCCGACCUGAGAGGGUGAUCGGCCACAUUGGAACUGAGACACGGUCCAAACUCCUACGGGAGGCAGCAGUGGGGAAUAUUGCACAAUGGGCGAAAGCCUGACGCAGCAACGCCGCGUGAGCGAUGAAGGCCUUCGGGUCGUAAAGCUCUGUCCUCAAGGAAGAUAAUGACGGUACUUGAGGAGGAAGCCCCGGCUAACUACGUA